CACACACACACACACACACACACACACACACACACACACACACACACACACACACACACUAAGCAGUUACUUAUUUUCUCAAAAAAACAGAGACAUAAUUGAUCAAAUCUUGAGGAAAAAUUUUCUAACCUUCACUCUGGAGUCUAAAACAUUCAGCAUUAUCAAUCAUCCGGCUCCAACAGUUUAAUAAUCCACCGAGAUUAUUCCUGUUUACAACCUUGGUCAGCACGUUUCAUCCAUUUGCAUUGUGUGAAAAAAGUUUUAGCUCACUUUAUCUUCAGGUGUCCUGAUAGAGGCCGACAGGUGGAGCCACAAGUGGGCCCAUGCUGGGCCAGUGUAGCUUGUGAGGGCUAAGUGAGGGCUGCCCAUGCAGGGCCAGCGCUUGGGGGCCAGCGCUUUGCCCAUGAGCAAAUCCCCUUGGAGCUUUAGUCAUUGUUCAGCGCGAUAAAACUUAGCGCUACGUGCACCGCUUAUAGCAAAAGGGUCCACGGAAAUGUACAAUGUAAAAUCCAUACAGUUCUUAUUUGUGGGGCUAAACAGUGAUGAGGAAUGUUCCGAAAGUACUUCUCACUGUACACCUGUUUCUCGGCACAGCAAGGGGAGCGCCAGCGACUUGCUCCAUGUGCAGGGGCGUUUCCUCCUCUGAUUUUGGUUGACGGCUGGCAGGGUAGUCUGAUUGGCAACUGAAUAAAGAACGAAUGUGAUUGGUGGAUAGCUGCACAGCACAUGCAGAGUCACAUGCAGUGUAUCUCAGUCAGCUACCCCUGAAAUUGGGCUAUGUUCACACUGCAGGUCAAUUCCGAUUGUUUAACCGUAUGUGACACAUAUCUGAUUUUUUUUUAUGUAAGUGUGAGCAGAACAAUACAGAUUUUUUCAAAUCUGACCCAGGCCUCUUUUGUAUGUGGAUAUAAAUGGGAUAUGUAUCCGAUGUGACUGCAGCGUGGAUGCUCAGGUCACGUUCAUCCGACGUCAUCAAUAUGCGAUCUUGUUACAAACAUAACAAGUUAAAACAUGUUCAUGAGCUGGUGUUGAAGUAAAAAAAAUCAAUUAAUGAACUUAGAUAUUACAAUGACUGAAUGAAAAAUACUGUUUGAAUGUAAUUUGUUCUUGUGUGAACGAUCUAAAUUACUUUAAGCAUGUCAUUGUUGGGAUAUUGAGUUUUUAGUCUAGUUUUGCCUUUUUAAUAAAAUACAUAAAACAAAAAUGAAUUUAAAGAUAUAAGUGACUGAAAGGGUUGUUUUAUGGCUUGUUGCUACAUGUCAUAAAACAAAGAAAGAACAAAUGAAGAAGCAGCAGCUGCUAGCUAGCUCGCUGUAGCAGGCAUUGUAUGUUAUAUAAAAUUGUUCCUGUUGGUCAUUUAAAGUCGAUGUAAAGACACAGUUAAACACGAAAGGCAUGACGCGCAAAUAAUUUAAGUUAAUGACGUGUAUCUGUGAUUUGUCCACGCACUACUCGCUCUAUCUGCUUAUUUACAAGAGUUGAAAAAUCUACCUGAGCUACAGGAUACAAGUUGUUUUUUUAAUAAAAAGAAGCUUGCCUGGAAGACAGUGUUGUCGGAUGAUCUGGUUAGUUGUAUGAACACCACAGAUCCUCACAUUUUAGUCGACCUCAGCCAUGUUUGAUGUAAACAUGUUUGGGAACAGCUGCAGACACGAUAAAUGAAAUGCAAAUGAAGCAAGUUAUUCGUGGGAAAUUGAGCAAGUAAAUUAUUUUUUGUCGGUGUGAACAUUAGAAGUGGUUAGGUUUUUCUAAGAAGUUUCUGUCUCUUUCUUUCCUGGUGAUGUGGAUAAAUCAGAAAUUUAUACAUCAUUAGAAAAAAGAUGAUUAGCCAUGUUUAUUACUCAAGUUAUUUAUUAUAAGUCAAACUUAUGAUGAACUUGUGAAUUACUUUCUCCCAGUCAAUAUCAACAUGAAUCAAUAGACAGAGUAAACACACAAUCUGUGUGAGUUUCCCAGUGCAGCCUUUUUUUUCAGUAUGGAAUCGUUUAACGUGAAACAAAUCCUGCUGCUAAAAAAAAAACUGGAACGGCUUAAUCACUGUUUGCAUGUGGGCGAGCCUCUUUCAAAAUGAGGACGACCAGCUGAACAAAAACGAAACUUUACAGAGAGGGAAGUCCUACAGGAUGUGAACACACACACACACACAC